rnacentral:lncRNA from 1 species
AAACAGAAAGCAUUGAAUAAUUUUCGUGUUUAAUAUCCAUAAAUUGAUACAAUUCACUUUCCAAAAAAAACGAAAAUUGUGUAUAACAAGCAUUUUGAUUAAUUUAUAGAAUACUCUUGAAUGAGCUCCACUAAAACCUCCUAUACAUAAACGGGUAUCAAAACAAUGCAGUAAGCCUGAACUUGAACUAUUUACCUUCGAGACUUAAAUAAAACACUUAUCAAACAGAAAUAGAGCUCAUCCACAGAGAGCAAAAAAGUUAUCAUGCUGUCUUGCAAAUUCUUAAAUCUAUUGAUUCUCGGAUUUGUAUGCGAUCUCAAUAACAAUUGAUUAGAUUUUUUUCCUGUGGAAUUGAAGGGCUUUGUUUUUAUUACAUCAACAAAUAUUGCUGAGAUAAUGCGAACUCGUUUAGAUUAAAUACACUUCGCUCAAAUGUAGGUAGUUCAGUCUAGUGUAUAAUAAUUGAGGACAACCAAACAAAUGAAUCGGACAACGCAGUAGAAUUUGAUAACUUUGAGAAAUCUUCUGUAAUGGUCUCGAUCGACCAAAAUUAUUCGGCUUGCAAGACCAGUAUGAAUGGGAGGUAACUUCUGCUUUUCGAAGGACCAACGUGUUUCAGAGUGUAUUGUGAGUACAAUUGGAAGCAGCUGCAGGAACAAUAACUGUCUCGCGAUUCUGCAUGUGCCUAACUAGCACGGGUAAACACCGUUUGAUUCAAUUACUUUGGGCGAUUGGGCUGGGCAGUUUGGCUGUAGGCUGACCGGGAAUUUUAAUUGUCGAGCCUGAUUUUGACCUCGUGUAACUUAGGGAAACCGACCCAAAGGAGAAAAACUUCCGAGCGAUUCGAUGGCAAAUUGCCCAAGUGAGAGUCGUUCCAUGGUGUAGAAGUAACAAGCACACGAGAGUAUUUGCUAUAGAGAGGCUGCCUUCUACGACUGAUUCCACCGAAUGCUUGUGUGGAUUCUGAGUUCUACAACUGGUUUGUAGCGACUAGGGUUUUCAGAAAUUUCUGCUCCCGACGGUUUGGGCGAGACAUCUUCGAGAGCUUGGAUGUAACAAACCACAGAGCGGACUUGCGAGAGAGCGACCGACUUUUACAAGUUGUUAAUAGAUACUCAUUUGUACGACUAUGUGUUCACGACUGUUGAGACUUCUUCUCCACCCAGUCUUGUCGACCUGGGGGAAGUGAAUAUAAAGAAUUCAGAAUUCGUUUUA